AUUGAACGCUGGCGGCAGGCCUAACACAUGCAAGUCGAGCGGUAACAGGGGAAGCUUGCUUCCCGCUGACGAGCGGCGGACGGGUGAGUAACGCGUAGGAAUCUACCAAGUAGUGGGGGAUAAGCCAGAGAAAUUUGGUCUAAUACCGCAUACGUUCUUCGGAAGAAAGGAGGGGAUCUUCGGACCUUUCGCUAUUUGAUGAGCCUGCGUGAGAUUAGCUUGUUGGUGAGGUAAUGGCUCACCAAGGCGACGAUCUCUAGCUGGUCUGAGAGGAUGAUCAGCCACACUGGAACUGAGACACGGUCCAGACUCCUACGGGAGGCAGCAGUGGGGAAUAUUGCACAAUGGGCGCAAGCCUGAUGCAGCCAUGCCGCGUGUGUGAAGAAGGCCCUAGGGUUGUAAAGCACUUUCAGCAGUGAGGAAGGUUAUAAGUUAAUACCUUAUAACUGUGACGUUAAC
rnacentral:rRNA from 1 species